CCUACGGGAGGCUGCAGUGGGGAAUAUUGGACAAUGGGGGGAACCCUGAUCCAGCCAUGCCGCGUGUGUGAAGAAGGCCCUCGGGUUGUAAAGCACUUUCAGUGAGGAAGAACGCCUGGUGGUUAAUACCCAUCAGGAAAGACAUCACUCACAGAAGAAGCACCGGCUAACUCCGUGCCAGCAGCCGCGGUAAUACGGAGGGUGCGAGCGUUAAUCGGAAUUACUGGGCGUAAAGCGCGCGUAGGUGGCUUGAUAAGCCGGUUGUGAAAGCCCCGGGCUCAACCUGGGAACGGCAUCCGGAACUGUCAAGCUAGAGUGCAGGAGAGGAAGGUAGAAUUCCCGGUGUAGCGGUGAAAUGCGUAGAGAUCGGGAGGAAUACCGGUGGCGAAGGCGGCCUUCUGGACUGACACUGACACUGAGGUGCGAAAGCGUGGGUAGCAAACAGGAUUAGAUACCCUGGUAGUC
rnacentral:rRNA from 1 species